CUUCCGUAGGGUGAACCUGCGGAAGGAUCAUUACCGAGUGUAGGGUUCCUAGCGAGCCCAACCUCCCACCCGUGUUUACUGUACCUUAGUUGCUUCGGCGGGCCCGCCCCCCCUUCAUGGCCGCCGGGGGCUCUCAGCCCCGGGCCCGCGCCCGCCGGAGACACCACGAACUCUGUCUGAUCUAGUGAAGUCUGAGUUGAUUGUAUCGCAAUCAGUUAAAACUUUCAACAAUGGAUCUCUUGGUUCCGGCAUCGAUGAAGAACGCAGCGAAAUGCGAUAACUAGUGUGAAUUGCAGAAUUCCGUGAAUCAUCGAGUCUUUGAACGCACAUUGCGCCCCCUGGUAUUCCGGGGGGCAUGCCUGUCCGAGCGUCAUUGCUGCCCAUCAAGCACGGCUUGUGUGUUGGGUCGUCGUCCCCUCUCCGGGGGGGACGGGCCCCAAAGGCAGCGGCGGCACCGCGUCCGAUCCUCGAGCGUAUGGGGCUUUGUCACCCGCUCUGUAGGCCCGGCCGGCGCUUGCCGAACGCAAAUCAAUCUUUUUCCAGGUUGACCUCGGAUCAGGUAGGGAUACCCGCUGAACUUAAGCAUAUCAAUAAGCGGAGGAA
rnacentral:rRNA from 1 species